AUUGAACGCUGGCGACAGGCCCAACACAUGCAAGUCGAGCGGGGUUUUCGGACCUAGCGGCGGACGGGUGAGUAAUGCGUAGGAAGCUACCCGAUAGAGGGGGAUACCAGUUGGAAACGACUGUUAAUACCGCAUAAUGUCUACGGACCAAAGUGUGGGACCUUCGGGCCACAUGCUAUCGGAUGCGCCUACGUGGGAUUAGCUAGUUGGUGAGGUAAUGGCUCACCAAGGCGACGAUCCCUAGCUGGUUUGAGAGGGUGAUCAGCCACACUGGAACUGAGACACGGGCCAGACUCCUACGGGAGGCAGCAGUGGGGAAUAUUAGACAAUGGGCGCAAGCCUGAUCCAGCCAUGCCGCGUGUGUGAAGAAGGCCUUCGGGUUGUAAAGCACUUUCAGCGAGGAGGAAGGGGUGAGUGUUAAUAGUACUCAUCUUUGACGUUACUCGCAGAAGAAGCACCGGCUAACUCUGUGCCAGCAGCCGCAGUAAUAC
rnacentral:rRNA from 1 species